rnacentral:misc_RNA from 1 species
GACAAUAGUGUGAUUUUCUAAGUGGACGUUGCGGACUGCAGCAAGUCUGCAAUCGGCAAGAUGGCUGGUGCCAUUGUGCGUUGUUUUCAGGUUCCGAGGAGGCAAUUGGGUUUCCUUGGGCCAUCGUUAAGCAGCCAGCAGCAAAGAACGCUUGCGGAUGCCGCUCCGGCAGGAAAGAAAAAGGGUGGUGCCCUGGCUGAUCAAGACCGUAUUUUCACGAAUUUGUACGGCAGACACGAUUGGAGGUUAAAGGGUGCUCUAAAAAGAGGAGACUGGUACAAAACCAAGGAAAUUGUUGAGAAGGGUGCAGAUUGGAUUAUCAAUGAGAUCAAAAUCUCUGGUCUGAGAGGAAGAGGAGGUGCUGGUUUCCCUUCUGGGAUGAAAUGGUCCUUCAUGAACAAGCCUUCUGAUGGAAGACCGAAGUACUUGGUAGUCAAUGGAGAUGAAGGAGAACCUGGUACCUGCAAAGAUCGUGAAAUCUUACGUCAUGAUCCUCACAAGCUAGUGGAAGGUUGCUUGAUUGCUGGUCGUGCAAUGGGAGCUUGUGCAGCAUACAUCUAUAUUCGUGGUGAAUUCUAUAAUGAAGCUUCAAAUAUGCAAGUUGCCAUCGCAGAGGCUUAUCAGGCAGGUCUUAUUGGAAAGAAUGCAUGUGGUUCUGGCUACGAUUUUGAUAUCUUUGUGCAAAGAGGGGCAGGAGCAUAUAUUUGUGGAGAAGAAACUGCUCUUAUUGAAUCUAUUGAAGGAAAACAGGGUAAACCUAGGUUGAAGCCACCUUUCCCAGCUGAUGUAGGAUUAUUUGGUUGUCCUACCACUGUCACUAAUGUUGAAACCGUGGCUGUGGCUCCUACAAUUUGUCGACGAGGUGGAGCAUGGUUUGCGUCAUUUGGCCGACCGCGUAAUCACGGUACCAAAUUAUUCAACAUCUCGGGGCACGUGAACAAUCCCUGCACUGUGGAGGAAGAAAUGUCCAUUCCUCUGAAGGAACUGAUAGAAAGGCAUGCUGGAGGAGUGAUUGGUGGAUGGGAUAAUCUACUGGGCGUCAUUCCUGGUGGAUCUUCCACUCCAGUGAUUCCCAAAAGCGUCUGCGACACGGUACUACUGGACUUCGAUGAUCUCGUCAGAGUGCAGAGUUCCUUCGGUACUGCAGCUGUUAUUGUUAUGAAUAAGCAGACAGAUAUCAUUAAGGCCAUUACGCGUCUUAUAAGCUUCUACAAACACGAAUCUUGCGGCCAAUGUACUCCGUGUCGCGAAGGAAUUAGUUGGAUGUACAAAAUACUGGGAAGGAUGGCUCGAGGACAAGCCGAAGUACACGAGAUAGACAUGCUCUGGGAGUUGACCAAACAGAUAGAAAUGCACACUAUCUGCGCUUUGGCGGAUGGUGCAGCAUGGCCAGUCCAAGGGCUGAUCAGGCAUUUCAGACCGGAAAUGGAAGAACGAAUUAAGGGGCAGAAGCAGAAUCUGUCUAAUUGAAAAUAAAGUGUAUAUUAGGCGAACCGAGAUGCGGUAUAGACAAUUUUCCUAUGUAAUUCUGCCGGACCGUAGUUAAGUUUUUGACGGUUGGGUAAAUAAAAUAGAAAUCGAUCGUACAAUAGCGGCCAUCUUGCGAUACAUUUAUAGCACGCAGGAAAUCAUUAAACUAAACCACAGCAAGAAGUAUUUCGGGGAGGAUUGCGAUUUUAUUUCAAUGAUACCGAAAUCCAAGGAAAUAGCAGACUCUAAUCUUGUUUGGAGUAACAUUGUUGGAACUUCAACAAUGAAUCAUCGAAGAUUCGCUUCGGUCUGUUUCAACGAAGCGUACAAGAUAAUUCAAUUAUAGCUUCAAUUAAAAAUAGAUGUUUUUAAUAAACUUUAUAUCUGUUAAAUAUAUCUUGUAAUUAUGACUCAAGAUGACAGCACCAUAUACAUUUUGUAGUUUAAA